AACGCGAAGAACCUUACCAGGUCUUGACAUCCCGCUGACCGCUCUGGAGACAGAGCUUCCCUUCGGGGCAGCGGUGACAGGUGGUGCAUGGUUGUCGUCAGCUCGUGUCGUGAGAUGUUGGGUUAAGUCCCGCAACGAGCGCAACCCUUAUCUUUAGUUGCCAGCAUUCAGUUGGGCACUCUAGAGAGACUGCCGUCGACAAGACGGAGGAAGGCGGGGAUGACGUCAAAUCAUCAUGCCCCUUAUGACCUGGGCUACACACGUGCUACAAUGGUUGGUACAACGGGAUGCUACCUCGCGAGAGGACGCCAAUCUCUUAAAACCAAUCUCAGUUCGGAUUGUAGGCUGCAACUCGCCUACAUGAAGUCGGAAUCGCUAGUAAUCGCGGAUCACCAUGCCGCGGUGAAUACGUUCCCGGGCCUUGUACACACCG
rnacentral:rRNA from 1 species